GUGCUAACUUCAGCAGCACAUCUACUAAAAUUGGAACGAUACAGAGAAGAUUAGCAUCGCCCCUGAGCAAGGAUGGCAUGCAAAUUAGUGAACAUUCCAUAUUUUUU